GACGAACGCUGGCGGCGUGCUUAACACAUGCAAGUCGAACGAAAAGAGGGGAAGAGCUUGCUCUUUUCAGAAUUGAGUGGCAAACGGGUGAGUAACACGUAAACAACCUGCCUUCAGGAUGGGGACAACAGACGGAAACGACUGCUAAUACCGAAUAAGUUCCAAGAGCCGCAUGGCCCAUGGAAGAAAAGGUGGCCUCUACCUGUAAGCUAUCGCCUGAAGAGGGGUUUGCGUCUGAUUAGCUGGUUGGAGGGGUAACGGCCCACCAAGGCGACGAUCAGUAGCCGGUCUGAGAGGGUGAACGGCCACAUUGGGACUGAGACACGGCCCAAAACUCCUACGGGAGGCAGCAGUGGGGAAUAUUGCACAAUGGGGGAAACCCUGAUGCAGCGACGCCGCGUGAGUGAUGAAGUAUUU
rnacentral:rRNA from 1 species